UCGCUGGAGGACCAGUGGUUAGGCCACAGCACUCUCAACACACUCUACAGCCAGAGUUCGAUUCCCGGCCAGGGAA